UACGGGGGGGGCAAGCGUUGUUCGGAAUUACUGGGCGUAAAGGGCUCGUAGGCGGCCAACUAAGUCAGACGUGAAAUCCCUCGGCUUAACCGGGGAACUGCCUCUGAUACUGGAUGGCUUGAGAUUGGGAGAGGGAUGCGGAAUUCCAGGUGUAGCGGUGAAAUGCGUAGAUAUCGUAAGGAAGACCAGUGGCGAAGGCGGGUCUCUGGACAGUUCCUGACGCUGAGGCACGAAGGCCAGGGGAGCAAACGGG
rnacentral:rRNA from 1 species